UUAAAUUGAAGAGUUUGAUCAUGGCUCAGAUUGAACGCUGGCGGCAGGCUUAACACAUGCAAGUCGAACGGUAGCAGGGAGGAAGCUUGCUUUCUUUGCUGACGAGUGGCGGACGGGUGAGUAAUGCUUGGGGAUCUGGCUUAUGGAGGGGGAUAACGACGGGAAACUGUCGC
rnacentral:rRNA from 1 species